CCACUUGAUGAACUCUUAUUUUCGCUGUGUUCUUACCGAGUUUUUACUUUGAAGAUCAACUAUCAUCUUGGAGAACUGAUCC
rnacentral:snoRNA from 15 species